rnacentral:rRNA from 1 species
AGCGAACGCUGGCGGCAGGCUUAACACAUGCAAGUCGAGCGGGCCCUUCGGGGUCAGCGGCCGACGGGUGAGUAACACGUGGGAACGUACCCUUUGGUUCGGAAUAACGCUGGGAAACUAGCGCUAAUACCGGAUACGCCCUUUUGGGGAAAGGCUUGCUGCCGAAGGAUCGGCCCGCGUCUGAUUAGCUAGUUGGUGGGGUAAUGGCCUACCAAGGCGACGAUCAGUAGCUGGUCUGAGAGGAUGAUCAGCCACACUGGGACUGAGACACGGCCCAGACUCCUACGGGAGGCAGCAGUGGGGAAUAUUGGACAAUGGGCGCAAGCCUGAUCCAGCCAUGCCGCGUGAGUGAUGAAGGCCUUAGGGCUGUAAAGCUCUUUUGUCCGGGACGAUAAUGACGGUACCGGAAGAAUAAGCCCCGGCUAACUUCGUG